ensembl:lncRNA
CAGCUCUUUGCGACCCCAUGGACUGCAGCACAUCAGGCUUCCCUGUCCUUCACUGUCUCGAAAAGUUUUCUCAAACUCAUGUCCAUUGAGUCAGUGAUGCUAUCUAGCCAUCUCAUCCUCUGUCGUCUCCUUCUCCUCGUGCUUUCUAUCUUCACCAGCAUCAGGGUCUUUUCCCAAUGAAUCGGCUCUUCAUAUCAGAUGGCCAGAGUACUGGAGCUUCAGCUUCAGCAUCAGUCCUUCCAAUGAAUAUUCAGAGUUGAUUUCCAUUAGGACUGACUGGUAGGAUCUCCUUGCAGUCCAAAGGACUCUCAAGAGUCUUCUCCAGCACCACAGUUCAAAAGCAACAAUGGGAUAUUAUUCAGCCAUAAAAAGGGGUUAAGUACUGAUUGACAUCACAACUUUAUGUUGUAAUGUUAAAACGUUAUGUUGGACCUGCCUGGUGGAGCAGUAGGUGGUAAUCUGCCUGCCAAUGCAGGAGACACAGGUUUGAUCCCUGGUCUGGGAGGAUUCCACAUGCCUCGGAGCAGCUAAGCCCGUGCACCACAACUACUGAGCCCAAGCUCUAGGGCCCGAGGACUGCUACUACUGAGCCCAAAUGCUACACCUACUGAAGCCUGAACAGCUAGAGCCACUGCUCUGCAGCAAGAGAAACCACUGCAAUGAGAAGUCCACGCACCGCAAUGAAGAGUAGCCUCCACUCGCCACAACUAGAGAAAGCCCGUGCAAAGCAAUGAAGACCGAGCAGAGCCGAAAAAAAGACUGUUAAGUGAACCGAGCCAGACACUAAGGAAUGGCAUAACUAGAACGGGCAAAUCCAGAGAAACAGCGCAGAUUGGCGGUUGACACAGGAAGUGGGGAGGGAGGAGAUGGGAGGUGAUUAUUAAAGUUCAAGAGCACUUCCGGGUGAGGAACAAGCUGUGAAAUGAGAAAGAUGGUGGCUGCCCAACUCCCGUCGGCGUGGUACCUCUUUCUCCAUCCUUUUCCACUGAACAUAUUCAUGUCUUUAUAUUUAACGUGUGUUUAUUGGAAACAAUCAGCAAAAUGAAAAUGCAGCCCAUGGAUUAGGAGAAGAUAUUUGUAAAUCAUGUAUCUGGCAAGAGACUAAUUUCCAAAAUAAACAACAAUCUCUAAA